GGGUGGGGUAUCACCGCUGGGAAAGGUAUCGGGAAAACACGGCCCGGGCGGGCGGCUUUCCCCUCAGCGGGCGAGGAGGAGCCGUGGGACGCGGGCUGAGCCUCGCUUGCUCCACGCACUGAAGGCAUCGAGUGCCUACGUUAAAUGGCAAUCAAUUUAUCGUCAUAAAAACUUGGAAGGAUAGCCACUGCAAUAUAAAACAUUUCUCCUAUUGCUUUUUUUAUUUUUAUUUUUUUAAGAGCAUGCACGUUUUCAGUCCUUAGAUUAAUUGACAUUCAAACCAGCAUUUCUUUAAAGAGAGCCUCCAGUAGAGCUCUCUCGGCCUUAUUUGGGGUUUCUCUGCAGAGGGAGGCUUGUGCUGCAUAAUCCGAGGUUGCAGCUCAGAUGAAGUCACAUCAACAGCAAAGCCAAAGGAAAAGCAACACUGCUGGGCAGCCUCUCCUAAACACCAAAUAAGAAAAAACAACAUACAAAGGCUGCAGCUACUGAUGCCCUCCAGGGAGAGGUAUCAACAUCAGCAUUCUUGCCAGCACAGAACACAUUGCUAGCCUGCAGCAUGUGAGGCUCCAUUGGACAAUCCAGUGAAAUACUGACUGCACCAGAGAACAGCUGCCAUGCUUUUCUCUUUUGUUCUUGAGCUGCAAGACUAUCCUUGCCUAAAUAUGAAAGAGAAACCUGCAAAACAAGAAUUGCAAGCUUCACUGAGAUAUAACAAGCCAAAUUAAUUCUUGAGGUAAGUACACAAAACAAAUGCUGUUCGAAGACACUUCUCUAUUGGGGGAAGAUUUCAUUCAUUAUAGAGAAGAAUAGCUUAAAAUAUUUUAUACUGUAAGAUCACUGGAUUUGUAUUCAAGGCAAUAUAGUUAUAGUGGAUGAUCAUUUGUUUUGUCACCAGCAGUAACUCUUGAGUAAUGCAUUUGCACUUGCACUUGUUCCCUACUUUCAUGUCAGCUCAGGGAGAGUCCAUUAUAUGAUUUCAAGUUGCUCCAAAUAAAGCAAACAGUUUUGAUUUCUUCAAGGGAAUUUACUGACUGUAUCAAUCACAAAACUUUGUAUGACAUUAAGUCUGCAGAUUACUACUAAUGUUAAGUGUGGGGUUUCCUGACCUCAGACAGUACUAGAAGUACAACCAGCAGAACACUGGAAAAAGUUAGAAAAGCUAUUACAAUUGUUUUGUCAAUCUAAAAUUCGUGAGUCACAGAAUCAUAGUCAUGGAUUCCUAUCAUAAAGACUCAUAUAGAAGCCACGUUCUAUUUUGAAAAAAAUAAUAAGCCAAUUAGAAAAACUGGAGAAUGUAUGAUUUUCUUUCUGCAUUCUUUCUCAUCAUGGAUUUUUAUUUAUUUGUUUAGUAUGAGUGCAGUGUACCUUUGUUUUAGAAGCUCUGAGCAUUUCCUGAACAGCAAAAAUAUUUUUUCUUUGCUUUAUUGUCUGCAGGAAUCAAAACUAAGUUUGCGAGGAAAAUAUUUGUGAGGAAACAAAAGGCCAUGAAAAUUUAGCUGAAUUAUGUCCAGAAAGAUUUAAAAAGUAAUUAGUGGGAAGAAACAUUAUUAGGGGUUUAAAGCCUGCUGACGUAUUGUAACACAUAAAAACACAGAACAGGAAACACAAAUAAAACCAAGUGAUAUAAAGACCACGCAAAGAGCACACACGCUGUCCUUCCUAUUAGCACAAAGCUAACCGUAGUGCUGUAGGAGAGAAGGCACACAGCUGGCGAUGGGCUCCGAGCUUCGUGCCCUCGCUCAGCCGCAGUGCCCGUUUCAGCUCCGUGUGAGCUGGCGGGCAGGUCGGAGCCUUUCGGCAGGCACCCGAGCGGGGUGUUUUCAACACAUACACCGAGAACUAUGGAUAACGCUGCGUUGUGCCCUUGCACUCCACGGGAUGUUCAGAUUGAAGCGGGUUUGGUACAAUACUUUGUCGCUGAUUACCCCCAUCCUCGCCGAGUGCUAAGCUAGUAAUAUUAUCACAGCGAUGCGCGUUAUCUGAGUAAACUCGUUUUAAUAAUUCAGUGC